rnacentral:rRNA from 1 species
GGGUUGUGAGGUUAAGCGACUAAGCGUACACGGUGGAUGCCCUGGCAGUCAGAGGCGAUGAAGGGCGUGCUAAUCUGCGAUAAGCGCCGGUAAGGUGAUAUGAACCGUUAUAACCGGCGAUACCCGAAUGGGGAAACCCAGUGUGAUUCGUCACACUAUCAUUAACUGAAUCCAUAGGUUAAUGAGGCGAACCGGGGGAACUGAAACAUCUAAGUACCCCGAGGAAAAGAAAUCAACCGAGAUUCCCCCAGUAGCGGCGAGCGAACGGGGAGGAGCCCAGAGCCUGAAUCAGCAUGUGUGUUAGUGGAAGCGUCUGGAAAGGCGCGCGAUACAGGGUGACAGCCCCGUACACAAAAGCGCAUGUGCUGUGAGCUCGAUGAGUAGGGCGGGACACGUGGUAUCCUGUCUGAAUAUGGGGGGACCAUCCUCCAAGGCUAAAUACUCCUGACUGACCGAUAGUGAACCAGUACCGUGAGGGAAAGGCGAAAAGAACCCCGGCGAGGGGAGUGAAAAAGAACCUGAAACCGUGUACGUACAAGCAGUGGGAGCACCCUUUGGGUGUGACUGCGUACCUUUUGUAUAAUGGGUCAGCGACUUAUAUUCUGUAGCAAGGUUAACCGAAUAGGGGAGCCGGAGGGAAACCGAGUCUUAACCGGGCGUU